UACUGAGCAGCCGAGAGGCUACAUGCUCGUUGGUUUCGUCAAAAACAUACUCAUCAAUCUCUAAAACAAAUAUUCCUGCUUGGAGCAUUGGAAGUAGCUCCUUAUGGUGAAGCCAAUCAUAAAAUCGUAUCCCGAAAAGCCAUUCCAUAGAGGGAAAAGACAACAUAAACACAGAAGAGUUUUUGAAAAGCAACAUAAUCGUACCGAGUCACACCGAGAACAAGUGGAUCGCGAAGUGCGGAUGAAACCACAAAACAUGGAAAAAGUAGCAACGAAUGGUUGAAGCCUUUGAAACUCCUUUAACUGGAGUUGUCUGAUGUGAACCGCUCUUUGUAGAAGUAGUUGAUGUUUUCCGUUUCGAGUUAAGUGUUUGUUUCAAUUAAAUGAACGGAUUUGAGCUUUUGGCUAUGAACGAGUCAU